AGUCAUAUUUUUCGGUUGGCUAUAAGAGUGACUUUUUAAGUCAUAUUAUUCGGUUGGCUAUAAUAGUGACUUUUCAAAUCAUAUUGUUCGGUUGGCUGUUAGAGUGAUUUUUCAAGUCAUAUUUUCGGGUGACUUUAGAGUGACUUUUGAAGUCAUACAAGAGGGUGUAAUUCUAGAAAAGGCUCCCUCAGUGCAGUGGGAAUCUUAUACAGUGAUCUGGGCUGUUUUAUCCUGGGGACCUCGUGGUUGAUAGUCUGCUUGCACAAUUUUUUGGCAGUGCCACGAAACGUCUUAAAGAAAUCGACAUUGUCCGUGACUCAGCCAAUAAUUUUUUCGGUUUGCCAUAAACUAUUGUUACAACAACUUCACAACCAUUGUUUUUCAUGUGAUACUGUGAGAAUUUGCAGAACUGCAGCUAUGGGAUGAAGAUUCUAAUGGGGCAAUAGAUCAAGAGGACUUGAAAAAGUGUACGUCCAACGAUGUUCUAAUGGCUAAUAGCUGUACAACUUUCAGGUUCUAUUAUUAUUAUUAUUAUUAUUAUUAUUAUGUGUAUAUGCAGCGUAUCAUCAUGUGUAACUCAAGACAAAAAUAACAAAGACAAGUUAAAUGAGGUAAGUUAAAUUUUGAUGUUCCAAUUGUGGAAUUCUUCUUUUUCUUUUUUCCAACCCGAUAUUGCCAAGUGCAUUAUGCAUGGUUGAUGAAUAUACCUGUUCUUUCUUCAAAUUAUGUGUUUCACAUAUUUAGAGUAAUUUUAGUGUUUUUCUUAAUU